rnacentral:rRNA from 1 species
UCAGGACGAACGCUGGCGGCGUGCCUAACACAUGCAAGUCGAACGGAACUCGGGACUUCGGUUCUGAGUUUAGUGGCGAACGGGUGAGUAACGCGUGAGGAACCUGCCUUUCAGUGGGGGACAACAGUUGGAAACGACUGCUAAUACCGCAUAAUGUGUUUUGGGGGCAUCCCCGAGACACCAAAGCUUUAUGUGCUGAAAGAUGGCCUCGCGUCUGAUUAGAUAGUUGGUGAGGUAACGGCUCACCAAGUCUGCGAUCAGUAGCCGGUCUGAGAGGAUGAACGGCCACAUUGGGACUGAGAUACGGCCCAGACUCCUACGGGAGGCAGCAGUGGGGAAUAUUGGGCAAUGGGGGAAACCCUGACCCAGCAACGCCGCGUGAAGGAAGAAGGCCUUCGGGUUGUAAACUUCUUUUAGCAGGGACGAAGAACGUGACGGUACCUGUAGAAAAAGCAACGGCUAACUACGUG